rnacentral:pre_miRNA from 1 species
AUUUGGGGCCUGAUGCAAAGCCUAUGAAGUCAUUGGCAGUCUUUCUGUUGAUUUCAGUGGGCUUUGCAUCAGGCCCAUGCUAU